AUCAUUUGAUGUCGUUUCAUCAUUUCUUUGUGUGAAGAGUCAAGAACAGUAGCUGGGUGACACUGAAGAUGAACCCUCCUCCAGCUUUAGUGACUAUGAUGUUGUUCAUGCUUGGGAGGAUCCAUGGAGACUCCGUGACACAGAAACAAGGUCAAGUGACCCUCUCAGAAGGCAAUUUUCUAUUUAUAAACUGCAUGUUCUCAGCCACAGGGUUCCCAACUCUUUUCUGGUAUGUUCGAUAUCCUGGAGAAGGCCCACAUCUCCUCCUGAAAGUCAUCACAGCUGGCGAGAAGGGAAGCAGCAGAGGGUUUGGAGCCACAUAUGAUAGAGGAACCACCUCCUUCCACUUGCAGAAAGCCUCGGUGCAGGAGUCAGACUCGGCUGUGUACUACUGUGCUCUGGGGGUGAGUAGCCAGCUGAAGGUGGAGCAGAUCCCAGAAUCCCUCAGUGUCCCAGAGGGAGCCAUGGCUUCUCUCAACUGCACUUUCAGUGAUCGUAAUUCUGUGUACUUCUGGUGGUACAGACAGCAUUCUGGGAAAGGCCUCGAGGUGCUGAUGUCCAUCUUCUCCAAUGGUGACAAGGAGGAAGGCAGAUUCACAGCUCACCUCAAUAAAGGCAGCCUGCACGUUUCCCUGCACAUCAGAGACUCCCAGCCCAGUGACUCUGCUGUCUACCUCUGUGCAGUAUGGGAUUACAGGCUUGUGCCACCAUAA